UACGUAGGGUGCAAGCGUUGUCCGGAAUUAUUGGGCGUAAAGAGCUCGUAGGCGGUUUGUCGCGUCUGCUGUGAAAACUCGGGGCUUAACCCCGGGCCUGCAGUGGGUACGGGCAGACUAGAGUGCGGUAGGGGAGACUGGAAUUCCUGGUGUAGCGGUGAAAUGCGCAGAUAUCAGGAGGAACACCGGUGGCGAAGGCGGAUCUCUGGGCCUGUUCUGACGCUGAGGCGCGAAAGCGUGGGGAGCAAACAGG
rnacentral:rRNA from 1 species